GCGUCUCAAAAGGGGUGCUUUGUUUCUUUUUAAAAAGUCAAACAAGGCUGAGAUUAUACCCAAUGAACCUGAACAGGUAAUGCUGUUAAGGGAAGGGCAAAAGCCUAGCU
rnacentral:ncRNA from 1 species